rnacentral:lncRNA from 1 species
CCUAACCAACCUAUUGAUUUGCUCUUUCCUUGUUUUCUUCCACUUCUUCAAAGCCUAGUAGCAAGUCCUCCUUGCUUGUUUUCUUCUUUCCUUCUUCUCUUCCUCCUUUCUCUUCUGCAUCUCCUUUUCUUCUUGUUGGGGAUGAUUUGGUACUGGUUGAAGCCGUGAAGCAUAUAAAGAAAAGAUUGACCCUCUCAAAUUUUCAAAUCUCGCGUCUUAUUCAAAAUUCAAACAACUCUGAUAUUACAGCUGCCUGCAGAGUAGAUAAGAAAAAAAUAACAAGUAUAUCUUUUCUAAUAAAGAAAGAUAACAGCUAAAUCUCUCUAGAUAAAUCAAGACUAACCAUCUGAUUUUUCUUCUUCUCAUAACUCCUCAACCUCUGUCUAUAAUAAAGAUCCAUAGAGAAUCUCAAGGUAUGAAAUCUUCUCUCUUACGCUUCUUCUCUCUGUUGCCAGAAUUUUGAUUUGAGC